rnacentral:rRNA from 1 species
GACGAACGCUGGCGGCGUGCCUAAUACAUGCAAGUCGAGCGGAGUUUCUCCUUCGGGGGAAGCUUAGCGGCGGACGGGUGAGUAACACGUAGGCAACCUACCCUCUAGACUGGGAUAACUACCGGAAACGGUAGCUAAUACCGGAUAAUUUCUUUCCCUCCUGGGGAAAGAAUGAAAGGCGGAGCAAUCUGCUACUAGAGGAUGGGCCUGCGGCGCAUUAGCUAGUUGGUGGGGUAACGCCCACCAAGGCGACGAUGCGUAGCCGACCUGAGAGGGUGAACGGCCACACUGGGACUGAGACACGGCCCAGACUCCUACGGGUGGCUG